AGAUGGAGCAUCGUCGGUUUAUAGUGAGCGGCAAACUAUUUCUUUAAAGCAAAAUAUUACUUCCACAUGUAGAUAUGUAUUUAUUAUUACACUGUAUUGCUGCUAGUGAAAAUAUUGGUGAUAAAAUUCAGUUAAACAUGAUGCAACCAGAAUUUAAUGUUGAAAGCCUAUAUUACUAUUUACUCCUGUUCCCAGCAACUGUGGUAGUUAUUGUUGUAUGUUUAUUUCUGAACUGGUUUGGACUGAAACUUUUCCAACACAACUAAACCCACCACUGAAGAAUUUGUCGAGGAGCUAUGUGCAUGAGAAAUGUUAAUAUUAUUUAAAUAAAACAUUUUAAAUUGGUGUAAAAA